rnacentral:rRNA from 1 species
GACGAACGCUGGCGGCGUGCUUAACACAUGCAAGUCGAACGAAGUGGCGAACGGGUGAGUAACGCGUAAUCAACCUGCCCUUCAGAGGGGGACAACAGUUGGAAACGACUGCUAAUACCGCAUACUGAAGGAGGGGAUUGCGUCUGAGUAGCUAGUUGGAGGGGUAACGGCCCACCAAGGCGAUGAUCAGUAGCCUGUCUGAGCGUCUGAUCGGCCACAUUUGGACUGAGCCACGGCCCAGACGCCUACGGUAGUCAGCAGUGGGGAAUCUUCCGCUAUGGACGAAAGUCUGACGGAGCAACGCCGCUUGAGUGAAGAAGGUUUUCGGAUCUUAAAACUCUGUUGUUAGAGAAGCGGUAUCUAACCAGAAAGCCACGGCUAACUCCGUGCCAGCAGCCGCGGUAAUAC